CCUACGGGCGGCUGCAGUGGGGAAUAUUGCGCAAUGGAGGAAACUCUGACGCAGCGACGCCGCGUGGGUGAUGAAGGCCUUCGGGUUGUAAAGCUCUGUCGGCUGGGAAAAAGGUGAUUGCACUAAUACUGCAGUUGCUUGAUGGUACCAGCAAAGGAAGCACCGGCUAACUCUGUGCCAGCAGCCGCGGUAAUACAGAGGGUGCAAGCGUUGUUCGGAGUUACUGGGCGUGACUGACGAGGAGGCGGCUGAAAGCCCGAGGCUUAACUUCGGAAGUGCAUUUGAAACUGCUAGGCUAGAGUGAUGUAGAGGUUGGUGGAAUUCCCAGUGUAGAGGUGAAAGUCGUAGAUAUUGGGAGGAACACCGGUGGCGAAGGCGGCCAACUGGGCAUUAACUGACGCUGAGGCGCGAAAGCGUGGGGAGCAAACAGGAUUAGAUACCCUUGUAGUC
rnacentral:rRNA from 1 species